GACGAACGCUGGCGGCGUGCUUAACACAUGCAAGUCGAACGGAAAGGCCCUGCUUUUGUGGGGUGCUCGAGUGGCGAACGGGUGAGUAACACGUGAGUAACCUGCCCUUGACUUUGGGAUAACUUCAGGAAACUGGGGCUAAUACCGGAUAGGAGCUCCUGCUGCAUGGUGGGGGUUGGAAAGUUUCGGCGGUUGGGGAUGGACUCGCGGCUUAUCAGCUUGUUGGUGGGGUAGUGGCUUACCAAGGCUUUGACGGGUAGCCGGCCUGAGAGGGUGACCGGCCACAUUGGGACUGAGAUACGGCCCAGACUCCUACGGGAGGCAGCAGUGGGGAAUAUUGCACAAUGGGCGGAAGCCUGAUGCAGCAACGCCGCGUGCGGGAUGACGGCCUUCGGGUUGUAAACCGCUUUCGCCUGUGACGAAGCGUGAGUGACGGUAAUGGGUAAAGAAGCACCGGCUAACUACGUGCCAGCAGCCGCGGUGAUACGUAGGGUGCGAGCGUUGUCCGGAUUUAUUGGGCGUAAAGGGCUCGUAGGUGGUUGAUCGCGUCGGAAGUGUAAUCUUGGGGCUUAACCCUGAGCGUGCUUUCGAUACGGGUUGACUUGAGGAAGGUAGGGGAGAAUGGAAUUCCUGGUGGAGCGGUGGAAUGCGCAGAUAUCAGGAGGAACACCAGUGGCGAAGGCGGUUCUCUGGGCCUUUCCUGACGCUGAGGAGCGAAAGCGUGGGGAGCGAACAGGCUUAGAUACCCUGGUAGUCCACGCUGUAAACGGUGGGUACUAGGUGUGGGGUCCAUUCCACGGGUUCCGUGCCGUAGCUAACGCUUUAAGUACCCCGCCUGGGGAGUACGGCCGCAAGGCUAAAACUCAAAGGAAUUGACGGGGCCCCGCACAAGCGGCGGAGCAUGCGGAUUAAUUCGAUGCAACGCGUAGAACCUUACCUGGGUUUGACAUGGAUCGGGAGUGCUCAGAGAUGGGUGUGCCUCUUUUGGGGUCGGUUCACAGGUGGUGCAUGGCUGUCGUCAGCUCGUGUCGUGAGAUGUUGGGUUAAGUCCCGCAACGAGCGCAACCCUUGUUCACUGUUGCCAGCACGUUAUGGUGGGGACUCAGUGGAGACCGCCGGGGUCAACUCGGAGGAAGGUGGGGAUGACGUCAAGUCAUCAUGCCCCUUAUGUCCAGGGCUUCACGCAUGCUACAAUGGCUGGUACAGAGAGUGGCGAGCCUGUGAGGGUGAGCGAAUCUCGGAAAGCCGGUCUCAGUUCGGAUUGGGGUCUGCAACUCGACCUCAUGAAGUCGGAGUCGCUAGUAAUCGCAGAUCUGCAACGCUGCGGUGAAUACGUUCCCGGG
rnacentral:rRNA from 1 species